GGGUCUUGGGACCCCGACCUUCGGGGGCUGAUUUUUGGGCGCGGCUGUGCCCGUGGCCUAUUUUUGGCACACAGAGGCCGCCCGCCAAGUUUGGGGCCAUUCCGAGUCCGGCGGACGAACUUCGCCCACGCCCCCCACCAAGGCUAUAGCCCACCCGUUUUUUUACCAUUUUUCCGCUGGGGGACUUGGGACCCCGACCUUCGGGGGCUGAUUUUUGGGGGCGGCUGUGCCCGUGGCCUAUUUUUGGCACAGGGAGGCCGCCCGCCAAGUCUGGGGCCAUUCCGAGUCCUGCGGACGAACUUCGCCCACGACCCCCACCAAGGCUAUAGCCCACACAUUUUUUGGCCAUUUUUCCGCUGGGGGGUCUUGGGACCCCGACCUUCGGGGGCUGAUUUUUGGGCGCGGCUGUGCCCGUGGACUAUUUUUGGAACACGGGGGCCGCCCGCCAAGUCUGGGGCCAUUCUGAGUCCCGCGGACGAACUUCGCCCACGCCCCCCACCAAGGCUAUAGCCCACCCGUUUUUUGGCCAUUUUUCCGCUGGGGGGUCUUGGGACCCCGACCUUCGGGGGCUGAUUUUUGGGCGCGGCUGUGCCCGUGGCCUAUUUUUGGCACACGGAGGCCGCCCGCCAAGUCUGGGGCCAUUCCGAGUCCCGCGGACGAACUUCGCCCACGCCCCCCACCAAGGCUAUAGCCCACCCGUUUUUUGGCCAUUGUUCCGCUGCGGGGUCUUUGGACCCCGACCUUCGGGGGCUGAUUUUUGGGCGCGGCUAUGCCCGUGGCCUAUUUUUGGCACACGGUGGCCGCCCGCCAAGUCUGGGGCCAUUCCGAGUCCGGCGGACGAACUUCGCCCACGCCCCCAACCAAGGCUAUAGCCCACCCGUUUUUUGGCCAAUUUUCCGCUGGGGGGUCUUGGGACCCUGACCUUCGGGGGCUGAUUUUUGGGCGCGGCUUUGCCCGUGGCCUAUUUUUGGCACAGGGAGGCCGCCCGCGAAGUCUGGGGCCAUUCCGAGUCCGGCGGACAAACUUCGCCCACGCCCCCCACCAAGGCUAUAGCCCACCCAUUUUUUGGCCAUUUUUCCGCUGGGGGGUCUUGGGACCCCGACCUUCGGUGGCUGAUUUUGGGCGCGGCUGUGCCCGUGGCCUAUUUUUGGCACACGGAGGCCGCCCUCCAAGUCUGUGCCAUUCCGAGUCCCGCGGACGAACUUCGCCCACGCCCCCCACCAAGGCUAUAGCCCACCCGUUUUUUGGCCAUUUUUCUGCUGGCGGGUCUUGGGACCCCGACCUUCGGGGGCUGAUUUUUGGGUGCGGCUGCGCCCGUGGCCUGUUUUUGGCACACGGAGGCUGCCCGCCAAGUAUGGUGCCAUUCCGAGUCCGGCGGACGAACUUCGCCCACGCCCCCCACCAAAGCUAUAGCCCACCCGUUUUUUGGCCAAUUUUCCGCUGGGGGGUCUUGAGACCCCGACCUUCGGGGGCUGAUUUUUGGGCGCGGCUGUGCCCGUGGCCUAUUUUUUGCACACGGAGGCCGCCCGCCAAGUCUGGGGCCAUUCUGAGUCCCGCGGACGAACUUCGCCCACGCCCCCCACCAAGGCUAUAGCCCACCCGUUUUUUGGCCAUUUUUCCGCUGGGGGGUCUUGGGACCCCGACCUUCGGGGGCUGAUUUUUGGGCGCGGCUGCGCCCGUGGCCUAUUUUUGGCACACGGAGGUCGUCCGCCAAGUAUGGUGCCAUUGCGAGUCCCGCGGACGAACUUCGCCCACUCCCCCCACCAAGGCUAUAGCCCACCCGUUUUUUGGCCAUUUUUCUGCUGGGGGGUCUUGGGACCCCGACCUUCGGGGGCUGAUUUUUGGGUGCGGCUGCGCCCGUGGCCUGUUUUUGGCACACGGAGGCCGCCCGCCAAGUAUGGUGCCAUUCCGAGUCCGGCGGACGAACUUCGCCCACGCCCCCCACCAAGGCUAUAGCCCACCCGUUUUUUGGCCAAUUUUCCGCUGGGGGGUCUUGGGACCCCGACCUUCGGGGGCUGAUUUCUGGGCGCGGCUGUGCCCGUGGCCUAUUUUUUGCACACGGAGGCCGCCCGCCAAGUCUGGGGCCUUCUGAGUCCCGCGCCCGAACUUCGCCCACGCCGCCCACCAAGGCUAUAGCCCACCCGGUUUUUGGUUAUUUUUCCGCUGGGGGGUCUUGGGACCCCGACCUUCGGGGGCUGAUUUUUGGGCGCGGCUGUGCCCGUGGCCUAUUUUUGGCACACGGGGGCCGCCCGCCAAGUCUGGGACCAUUCUGAGUCCCGCGGACGAACUUCGCCCACGCCCCCCACCAAGGCUAUAGCCCACCCGUUUUUUGGCCAAUUUUCCGCUGGGGGGUCUUGGGACCCCGACCUUCGGGGGCUGAUUUUUGGGCGCGGCUGUGCCCGUGGCCUAUUUUUGGCACACGGAGGCCGCCCGCCAAGUCUGGUGCCAUUUCGAGUCCCGCGGACGAACUUCGCCCACGCCCCCCACCAAGGCUAUAGCCCACCCGUUUUUUGGCCAUUUUUCCGCUGGGGGGUCUUGGGACCCCGACCUUCGGGGGCUGAUUUUUGGGCGCGGCUGCGCCCGUGGCCUAUUUUUGGCACACGGAGGUCGUCCGCCAAGUAUGGUGCCAUUGCGAGUCCCGCGGACGAACUUCGCCCACUCCCCCCACCAAGGCUAUAGCCCACCCGUUUUUUGGCCAUUUUUCUGCUGGGGGGUCUUGGGACCCCGACCUUCGGGGGCUGAUUUUUGGGUGCGGCUGCGCCCGUGGCCUGUUUUUGGCACACGGAGGCCGCCCGCCAAGUAUGGUGCCAUUCCGAGUCCGGCGGACGAACUUCGCCCACGCCCCCCACCAAGGCUAUAGCCCACCCGUUUUUUGGGCAAUUUUCCGCUGGGGGGUCUUGGGACCCCGACCUUCGGGGGCUGAUUUUUGGGCGCGGCUGCGCCCGUGGCCUAUUUUUGGCACACGGAGGUCGCCCGCCAAGUAUGGUGCCAUUGCGAGUCCCGCGGACGAAGUUCGCCCACGCCCCCCACCAAGGCUAUAGCCCCCCGUUUUUUGGCCAUUUUUCCGCUGGGGGGUCUUGGGACCCCGACCUUCGGGGGCUGAUUUUUGGACGCGGCUGCGCCCGUGGCCUGUUUUUGGCACACGGAGGCUGCCCGCCAAGUGUGGUGCCAUUCCGAGUCCCGCGGACGAACUUCGCCCACGCCCCCCACCAAGGCUAUAGCCCACCCUUUUUUUGGCCAUUUUUCCGCUGGGGGGUCUUGGGACCCCGACCUUCGGGGGCUGAUUUUUGGGCGCGGCUGUGCCCGUGGCCUAUUUUUGGCACACGGGGGCCGCCCGCCAAGUCUGGGGCCAUUCUGAGUUCCGCGGACGAAAUUCGCCCACGCCCCCCACCAAGGGUAUAGCCCACCCGUUUUUUGGCCAAUUUUCCGCUGGGGGGUCUUGGGACCCCGACCUUCGGGGGCUGAUUUUUGGGCGCGGCUGCACCCGUGGCCUGUUUUUGGCACACGGAGGCCGCCCGCCAAGUAUGGUGCCAUUCCGAGUCCGGCGGACGAACUUCGCCCACGCCCCCCACCAAGGCUAUAGCCCACCCGUUUUUUGGCCAUUUUUCCGCUGGGGGGUCUUGGGACCCCGACCUUCGGGGGCUGAUUUUUGGACGCGGCUGCGCCCGUGGCCUGUUUUUGGCACACGGAGGCCGCCCGCCAAGUAUGGUGCCAUUCCGAGUCCCGCGGACGAACUUCGCCCACGCCCCCCACCAAGGCUAUAGCCCACCCUUUUUUUGGCCAUUUUUCCGCUGGGGGGUCUUGGGACCCCGACCUUCGGGGGCUGAUUUUUGGGCGCGGCUGUGCCCGUGGCCUAUUUUUGGCACACGGGGGCCGCCCGCCAAGUCUGGGGCCAUUCUGAGUCCCGCGAACGAACUUCGCCCACGCCGCCCACCAAGGCUAUAGCCCACCCGUUUUUUGGAUAUUUUUCCGCUGGGGGGUCUUGGGACCCCGACCUUCGGGGGCUGAUUUUUGGGCGCGGCCGUGCCCGUGGCCUAUUUUUGGCACACGGAGGCCGCCCGCCAAGUCUGGUGCCAUUCAGAGUCCCACGGACGAACUUCGCCCACGCCUCCCACCAAGGCUAUAGCCCACCCGGUUUUUGGCCAUUUUUCCGCUGGGGGGUCUUGGGACCCCGACCUUCGGCGGCUGAUUUUUGGGCGCGGCUGCGCCCGUGGCCUAUUUUUGGCACACGGAGGUCGCCCGCCAAGUAUGGUGCCAUUGCGAGUCCCGCGGACGAACUUCGC
rnacentral:lncRNA from 1 species